AGAAUAUAUUCUCACAAAAAAAAGGGGCUAAACUUCUAAAAACAUAUAAAGAAAAAUCCAAAUUCCUAGAGCACAAAAAUCCCAGAUCUACAGAAGAAUCAUAAAAAGACGAACCAAAAGACAAGAAAUCAGAUCUGAACCAGGGGGAAAAAAUAGCCUAAAGAAGAAAAAAGAGCCGCGACUAAAAAUUCAGUAGCAACUGAAUACCCUAUCUAAAAAAAGUCCAAGAUAAACCCCAGAUUUGCAAAAUCUAGAUGAAGACAAUCAUCAACAAGUUACGAAAUAAAAAUUGGUAAUAAAAUUGGUUCAGAACUAAAAAAUACUGGAAACAACCCAAAGAGUUGAGGCUUUGAAAUCAAAAUCACUGGCAACAGCCAAUUAAAAACUGAACUGAGCUAGGGCAAGUUACAACCAAAAAGAAUAAAACCAAUGAUAAGAUAAAUAACUA
rnacentral:misc_RNA from 1 species